rnacentral:rRNA from 1 species
AUUGAACGCUGGCGGCAUGCCUUACACAUGCAAGUCGAACGGUAACAGGUCUUCGGAUGCUGACGAGUGGCGAACGGGUGAGUAAUACAUCGGAACGUGCCUAGUAGUGGGGGAUAACUACUCGAAAGAGUGGCUAAUACCGCAUGAGAUCUACGGAUGAAAGCAGGGGAUCGCAAGACCUUGUGCUACUAGAGCGGCCGAUGGCAGAUUAGGUAGUUGGUGGGAUAAAAGCUUACCAAGCCGACGAUCUGUAGCUGGUCUGAGAGGACGAUCAGCCACACUGGGACUGGGAACCGGCCCAGACUCCUACGGGAGGAAGCAGUGGGGAAUUUUGGAAAAUGGGCGCAAGCCUGAUCCAGCAAUGCCGCGUGCAGGAUGAAGGCUUUCGGGUUGUAAACUGCUUUUGUACGGAACGAAAAGCCCUGGGUUAAUACCCUGGGGUCAUGACGGUACCGUAAGAAUAAGCACCGGCUAACUACGUGCCAGCCGCCGCAGUAACAC